UAGCUCAGUGGUAGAGCACGUGCUUAGUGUGCGUGAGGUCCUGGGUUCAAUUCCCAG
rnacentral:tRNA from 1 species